UACACCAGACUUGCAUCCUUUCCGGUCAACCUCUCCUACUUACUCAAAAGUUGUUGAUCCUUUUCCAUUGUAUCCCUUCCAAUAUAUCCAAGAAUUAAUUUGGAAUAAACGUUACACAAUUAUAUUAGAGGGAUUAAAUCUCUAAAUACGUGUAUGCAUGGAAGAUGAUAUUAUGUACCUAUUUGUGAAUACAAUAUCCAAAGCAAUUUUUUUGAACUCCUUCAAUUAACUUAACAUUAAUUUCUUUGAACAAAUUACCAAAUAUCCCUUAUCCGAUCAAUGCUCGCCACAUGUCACGAUUAGAAGUGGUGAAGUGACAUGUGUCAAUAUUAAAAACAAAAAUAUAUGACUACCUCAAAUUCAAACGAAAAAUCUACGUACGGAAGAAGAAGAAAAAAUGAAUGGAGGAAGAUAAAUGAAAGAUAAAAGGAAAAGGUAGUGGAUGAGAAUAGAUAAGGUCCUAUCUUCAAUCUAAUGCUACUUGUGGUUGUACUUCAACAUUUGCUUCACAUUCUUUCAAUUUUUAUCUCCUUCAAUUAUCAAUUUGGUGGUCGAACUUUUUAGUUAUUAUCACUAUGGACCAUAUGUGUUUCUGCAACAGUAUGGCCUAAUUCUCCUUAUGUGGGGGGAAUAUAGAUGAGUUUUGAAUUAAAAAAUAAUAUUUGUCGGCAUUAUAAAAUUAUUUACUCAUUCGAUGUAUCCAACGAGUUAAUUAUUUUUCAAAAGUUAUCGAUUCAUAUCUACCGUUUAGAAAGAAAAAAAAAGGGGGGGCCAUAAAAAUGUGGUUGGCUAAUUUAAGGGAUACUCCUAUUCAGUUUAUAAAAUAGUGACUAGCAAAAAGAAUUUGUUGCACAAGCAUCAACUUUACUUAUUAGAUUACCCAUAUAUUGCAAAUGAGUGUCAGUUUAUUUAGAAUAAAGAUAUGAUAUUUCUCACCUUUGCAUUAGGAUAAUGUUGAAAGUCCCCAUUGCACUUUGGCUUGUAAAUUGAUUUAUAUACCUGUUUGUCUCCCACAAGCUCCCUGCUGAUCCUUUUAGAUGAUUUAGAACUUUGGCUAAUUUGUGUGAGUUUCAACUAUUACAUCACAUACUUGUUAUCUCCUAAGAAAUUUUGUCCACCAAGACAUACACAAUUAUGAAGAAAGCACCUAUAUAGAGUAAAACCCAAUUACACUCUCUCUGUAUAGAGUGCAGAACAUGAUUUUUGGCAUGAUCUUACUCCCUACCCAAUCGUUGUGGUGUAUAUUUCCGAAUCAAUUGAAUUGUAAGUUGCUAUAGCUUUUACCAACUACUGUGGUCUGUCGAAAUGAAAAAGAAACUAUAUCCUCCUGAUGGCCCCAAAUUCCCCUGACGCUUCUCGGUUUGAAUUUUUCACAUCGUUUUAAUCAUGAAUAUUUUGUUGAAAAUAUAUACUAUAAUAAUAAUAAACCUAUCGAGAUGAAAGCCUAGCAGAUUGCAAGACUCAUUGACCUAUGUUUUCUGAGGGAUGUCUGAGGCCAUAAUCUUAAGGAAUCCACAAAAUUGGGAAAGGGUAGAGAGAAUGAUGCAUGUUUCAUUUAAUAUAGGCAAUGGAUGGUAGAAUGAAAAUUCUGUAUUUUUUGGCCCCUUUAAGUCCAUGCAAAUGUUCCUCAAACCUCUUUAGGCAAUUUGAGAAUGUCUAUAUCACUACUCAUCGUUUCGACAUAUUAGGCACAUAAUUGCACAUAGGUCAGAUUGUCAAAUUACACAUCAAACCCUAUACCAGAGGACCCCACCCCUUC
rnacentral:lncRNA from 1 species